AAGAGGCAAAAAAAACCUCGUAUCAUUUUUCUUUAGUCUUGAUUGAUUUUAUUGAUAUUGUACAUCUGAUAUUGACAGUAUUAUUUGUAUGUUUUCAACAGUUCAUAGGGGUUGUUCAGCUUGAAAAUCUUGGUUAUAAUCUGAAGACACGUUUAUGCCAGGAGACAUACAUAUGCUAUGCUGCAAUUAUGUAUUGAAGUAGAUGAAAAUGCUUUUGGGGCAUGUGCAGAACUCUUAUUCGCUCCAAUAGAUGCAUCUUUCUCUGAUGAUGCUCCGCUCCUUCCAUCUGGUUUCCGAAUGAUUCCAACCGACUCUUCCAAGGAUGUUUCAAGUCCAAAAUGCAUUCUUGGCCUUACAUCUGCCCUCGAGGUUGGCGCUGCAGGAAAUAAAUCACUUGCUUAUAAUAGCAGGUCUGUAAGUGGGAAAUUGUGAUGACUGUAGCUUUUCAGUUUGCUUUGGAGAUUCAACUUCAGGAGAGUGUUGCUUCUAUGGCAUGAGCAUGACGAUAUGUUAAGGAGUAUAAUAUCCUCUGUUCAUAGUGUAGCAUCUGUGCUCUCCCCUUCUCGUUUUGGUUCUCUUAAUGGUUCACCUUCAUCUCCUGGAACUCUUGUAGCCUAAACAUUUGUCAAAGCUACAGGAUUUUAUCAUUUUUUGUUAAAAUCAAACUACCUGAAUCUGAUAACAUAGCUUGUGAAAUGUGACAUGCAAAUCUUCAACAAGUAACUGAUUAUAGUUAAUCUACAUUGACAGGUUCUAUCUAGGAGUUGAGUUGCUUAAACCCGGUAAGAGAGAGGGGAAUCCAUUCUCAAAUCUCUUUGGAGCCAUUCUGAUCCCAUUUUGUCCUACUCUUUGAAGGACUUGACAUCUAGAGACUACCUUAGUUGCACUGCAAGAAAUUACAUUGGACAUGAUUUUCAAUGAGCAGGGCCGGAAAAUGCUCUUCACAGAGCUGCCUCCAAUAACGCUGCAGGGUUUCAUUUAUGUACAAGGAGAUAUCUGAUUACUAGCAGCAUACUUUUGGAUAUCAUCCUAAUAUAGUAAACAAAUAUGUUGUUUGAUGUAUUUUCGUGGUUAGGGUGUAUUUGCUCUGUGUGUGUCUAAUUGGCUUAAGUUGAUUGAGUUGCUGAUUACUUUGCUGCAUGUGUGGCUAAUUGGCUUAAGUUGGCCGAGUUGCCGAUAAACAGUGUUAAUGCUUACCUGUCUAACCCUACUCAACUAUUUGCUGUAUGUAAUAUGUAUACGUCAUAUAUAUUUAAUAUUUUGCUGAUGUUUCUGCAUUUUUAAGGGUGAAUUUGCUGGAUUGGUUUCCAGGUCUAUGUGUGGAAUUGUGCUAGCUUUCUAGAUAAGGACAAUAUGGGUAUUGAGAAGUGGAAAUUAGGGAUUUGAAUUUCAUUUUAGGAGUCUACCUUGUUUUAGUGGCAGAACAAUAGGCCAGUAGCCAUUUCUAGGAUCAAUUGAAUGUUCCCACACCAUCAUUAACUAGUGUAUGAGAGGUAAGAAAAAGAGAUUAAGUUGAGAGAUUACUUUUUUGUUUAUACGCAAACUAGAGUGUAUCCGUGCAAAAUGCACGAGAUAUAUAAGAAAAAAAUUUAUUUAAAAUAUGGAAAGCUGAUUUUGAUGUUGUGAUUUAGACUUGAGCUAUGAUGGUUGAUUUUGGACUGGUCAGUUCUGUUGAACCCUAAUUAGCUCUGUUGUAUUGAGUAUUAAUAAUCGUAUUAAUAAUGUGUUGACACCUGUUGUGCUAUGCUGAAAUAUGAUAUUCUAUGCUUUUCUUAUAAGCUUAAAAAACAGGGUCUUACUCUUUUAUGUCAAUGGCCAUGCAAUGCUAUUAUGGGGUUUACUUUUUCAAAGUUAUAGAUCGAGGUUACUCGUUCAGUGUUAUAGGGGUUAUUCGUGUUACUCGGUUAGUGUCAUAUGAGUUAGUGUCUUGCUCUAGGGGUUACAUACUUUGUUCUGUUGCAAGUAGUUAUUUGCUGAGGCUAGUUGUACAUUUUUUUUUUUGAUGAUUUAAGAUGUGGAAAAUGUUUGGAGGGUAGUCUCUAAAAAAAUGCAUAUAAUUGAAAGGUUGGGAAUUUAGAGUACUAUAGUGAAUUAUUGAUAAAGGAAAUGUAUACUCGUGCUAAUGCAUGACAUAUAUUAUACUAUGUACCAAAAAAAAAAAAACUCAUAAAACAAAGUGAAAUGUUAGUACGUAGUGUUUUUAAAAAAAUGAAAUGUUGGGGAUUUUGAGUGCUAUAUUGAAAUGUUGAUAAAAGCAUUGUAUAAUUGUGCUAAUGCAUGUCAUAUGUUAUACUACGUACUAAAAAAAA